UUAGAGAAAGGACCGUUUGUUUCCAACAGCAUUAGCCAAAUAGUAUGCCUCUUCCUCGAGCCAAAAGCAGUUUUCAGAAACCCCUAAACUAAAACUUUGCUAACUAACAAAUGUGCUGUCUUAUUCCCCUCACGAAUUUGCAGGAUCUAAACGUCCCAAAGUUGGCCCAUCGUCGAUAAUUGUUUCUAGAGAGCUACUCUCGGUUCAGGGCUAGGAGGCUUUGCUGGUGUUAGCGAUUUGCAUUCCGUCAGAUUUCAAUUAGGUCUCAUGGAUUCAAGAAGGUUGGCAGCAUCCAGGUUUCAAAUCUCAGCUCAGUAAUGUUUGAAUCGUAAGAUGAAUGCUAAAAUAGAGUCGGCUUGUACCUAGUGUUGUAAUUUAGUUUUUGGAGUCAAUUAUGAUGCCUUGGUAUCUUCUAUGCUUCAAAAUAUUCAAGUUAAACGUGUUCAAUAAUCUAAAUGUUCGAUGAUAUGAUUAUGUGAUUAAGUUAAGAUGCAUGAUCUUAAA